UAACAUAGUAGAUAACAUUUUUUUUAGAAACGUUUGUUCUUCUAGCUUCUUUUUACUCUUAUAUCUUUCAAAAUUCCCCCCUUUUCCUAUUUACUCUAGUAUUUUCCAAAAUAUUUUCCCUUCUCUCAGUUUUACUUAAAGUUGAAAUNCAUCCAUCCCGCUAAUCACAAAUUUCAUUUUUGAUUUCCCCCUAAAUUUCACUCUGCGCUUGCCCACAAAUUUCACUUCGCGUCCAUCCCUCAAACCUGACAGUUCUUAGUGGAGCAAAUCCUUGUUGCAUUGUCUUCAUCAUUUCUUGUCGCCCAGCCAAGGUUCAUCAAGGAUUCAGGAAACCAGCCUCCUUCAAGAAACCAAUAGGCUCUUGGUCAGGUAUAAAGAUUCUCCAUUAAAGCUAGGCGUUUUGAUUAGAGAAGUGAUGAUGUUGUUGAAGGCAUCACCAACAAGCCACACCUCGAGUCAGUGCUCUCCUUUGCCACAUCUUCGUUGUGCUCGCGUCAGCNUUUGCACCUCAUCUUCAGUUUCACAUUGCUUCUCUCAUUCUCACGAAGCAUCACCAAAAAACAACACCUCGAGUUCUCUCUCUUGCAGCANCCACAGUUCUUCGUAGGUCCACCUUUUCUCCUCACAGUUCUACCUUAUUUCAGCCAUUUCGGCCUUAGAAACACCAUCUUCACCGAUUAGUUCUUUGAUAUUAACCGUUUAAAUCCUAUUUUGCUCUGAUUAAACACUUUUCCACCGUUUAAUCUCAAUUUUGAUUCGUUUAAUCGGUUAACUUAGUGUUUUAGGGUUCUUUCACCGUUCGAUUUAGGGUUUCCUUUCUACAUUCACGGUUUUGGUUUGUUUGCUCUUGGAUACGUGUUUUUCCCUUUGCGUCUAAGAUUUCAUUCAUUCUNCUUCGAGUUUUUCAUCGUUCCGCUGCGUUUCUCUCUUCGAGGAAGCUUCGAAGGAGUCCAUAGCGUGUUCGUUUNGAAAUAGGAACGAGGCUUCUAUAUUGGAAUGGAACAGAACCGAGGUUGUCUCAUUGAGACCAAAUUGAUCAAAGAGUUCCUUCCAAUGGGCAGAGACUGUUGAUGGCAAAUNGUGAAUUGUGUAUUGACUUAGAUUUCCUUCUCUCUCUUGCUUUGUUGAAGACUAUUGAAGCAAAACGCAUAUCAGUUGAUCAGGGUGCAUAAUUCUAUUAUUAGGAAAAACCCUCAACAGAAGAGAACGAUGAGAUAUUGUCCAUACUUGUCAAUAUGGAUUCAAUUUUGAGGAGGCUUGCACAACUAUAGACAAAUGUGGUGUGUUUAGUGUGUAAUUGUUACUCUUAUAUAUGUUAUCAACACAUUUUAAGUUUCUUUUUGUUUUAUUUUCGUCUCUCCAGUAUCAGCAGUAUUAAAUGGUCUAAGAUGGUCAAUUAAAUAAUGAAAAAGGAGAUUU